GUGCUCGCUUCAGCAGCACAUAUACUAAAAUUGGAAUGAUACAGAGAAGAUUAGCAUGGCCCCUGUGCAAGGAUGACAUGCAAAUUCGUGAAGCAUUCCAUAUUUUU
rnacentral:snRNA from 1 species